CCACGCCGCUUGUUGGCUAGUUCAUGUUCCAGUAACUUUGGCCUCUGUUAGAGAGAGAAGCAACUCCCACCCCCAGAGAGGGGGUCUGCCCUGUGUGUCCUGCUGUCCAGUGUUCCUGUGUCUGAGGGGUUUGUGGCCAUGUGGCCUGGGGCCAGCCCUGUAGCUUUUCUCAGGCUCUUUCCUUCCCCAUAAAUUGAGACUUCCCUUGGCACCACCUCCCGCUGCCACCGCCCCCCCCCCCUCCUCAAGGUUCAACGAUAACCAGGGGAGUGGCUACCUGGGAAGCCCCGAGUGUCCUCGAGAACUCUGGGCCUUCUUGCCUGGAGGGGUUGCUGAUAGUUGGUCCCCAGCUCUCUAGGACAUUAGCAUGCUGGGACCUUGAAGCAAAGGCUUCCUUCCGCCUCUUCCUUCACCCUCCAAGGGAAAUGGAGCCAAGCCCAGACCACUCUGCCUGUUUUUUAUUGGGUCCCGAACUCAGGACAGAGGCAGGGGGUACUGAAGCAGGGCUUUCUAGCCUCGCACCCCCUCAGGGUCCCCAGUCUCCUGUGUGCAUCAAUAGAGGGUAGAGGUUCUAGGAGGUUCAACCUCUUCUUGAGGCCUGCCUCAGCCUUGGGUUGGUUGCAGGGUCUGGCCUUGAGCUUGCCUUUGGCCUUGACCUUUCUGUGGGUCAUAGGAAGCACCCCAACAUCAAAGGCUAGAGGUCUCAAGGUGCUUCCCGGAUGGGGGCCAUGCAGGCUCUGGACAGCAGCAGCCUCGGUGUGAAAGGAGGGGAGGGGAGGGAGAGAUGAUCAGAAAGUCUGUCCAGGAAAGGGCUCGGCUCAGGAAGGGGGUUUCCAGACAAACGGGCUCUUCCCUUGGGGUACCACCCAGCCUGGGCCUGCCCUCUGGUUGUACCCUCCAGCCCUGACACCAGUGCUCAGCCUGGCCAGCCAGCAGUGCAAGUCACCAUUGAAGGCCCACCUUGUUUGGUCUCUGGCUGGGUGCGGGUCUGUGCUCAGGCUGUGGGAGGACAAUGAAGAUUUUGGCCACAGGGAGUGUCAUCCAGGCCUUCCCUGUGGUCCACAGUGCCUUAGAAUCCACCAGCUUGUGCUGCAGCCUGGCGGCCCAGACCGGGGGAGAAGACAGCAGGCUGGGGAAGCCAUAAGGGGCUGUGGGAGCGAGCAAGGCAGCUCAUGAGGGUGGGCCUGGGGAAGCUGCCCCACUAGGUAUACACUGCGGGCAGGGUGGAAUGAGGGUGUGGUAAGGGCAGCUGUGUGCCCCUCCCACCCCCGUUCUUCCAGAAGCCACGGGAAGAACCUAAGGUUUGGAGACCAAGAGGCCUUGGUCUGCAUCCCAGCCCUGCCCUGUCUGAGCUGCGCAGCUUCCUUAAACUUCCAGAUUCCUCUCGUCUGGAAACUGGAGGAGAGCCCCUGUCUGGGUGGUUGUGAGGACCCAGGGAGCCGGUCUGGUAGGGACCCGGUGUUCGUUGCGGAGUGCUGCACAGCCCUCGACCAGGAGCCGGAUGCCCACGUACUGGGGCACGUCCACGGCCGGCUGUGGGGGAGAAGAGGAAACGAGGCCUGCUCAGUCAGGACCCAGGGCAGAGCGAGCAAGCAUCACCUUGUAAUGUGCUGGAUCCUUCGACUGAGGGCGUGCAGCGCCUGCCAACUGUUUCUCCUGCUGGAGUGUAAGCAGCCUGAUUGAAUCACGUGUAACUCCUCCAUUAUAGCAACUGCACUUCUGUUGGGCCCAAGACCUGGGAACUGUAGCUUGGGCAAGCUGACACAGAUUACUGAAUACUCUAAGUGCCUGAAACAGUAAA